GUUGAACGCUGACGGAAUGCUUAACACAGAAUAACUGAUUGGUUGGCGGACGGGUGAGUAACGCGUAAAUAACUUGCCUCACAGGUAGGGACAACAUUUGGAAACGAAUGCUAAUACCUAAUCCUGUGAGAGAGCUUUGCGUCCCAUUAGCUCUUUGGAGAGGUAACGGCUCACCAAGGCGAUGAUGGGUAGCCGGCCUGGGAGGGUGAUCGGCCACAAGGGGACUGGGGAACGGGCCGUACUCAUGCGGGAGGCAGCAGUGGGGAAUAUUGGACAAUGGACCAAAGUAUGAUGCAGCAAUUCUGUGUGCACGAUGAAGUUUUCGGAAUGUAAAGUGCUUUCAGUUGGGAAGCGGUACCAACAGAAGAAGUGACGGCUAAAUACGUGCCAGCAGCCGCGGUAAUUC
rnacentral:rRNA from 1 species